ACACCUUAAUCCUCGCCCUUUCCCUAUACCACGCUCUUCCACUGGUGAUGGCAAAUAGCCAGUUACGAGGCAGGCCAAGCUGGUGUCCGGGGGCGCAUUGCCGGUCUUGCUGCAGCAGGGAACCAGGGGGAAGACGGAGGGCGUUGUGGGGGUCGCUG